UACGUAGGGGGCUAGCGUUGUCCGGAAUCAUUGGGCGUAAAGCGCGUGUAGGCGGUUCGGUAAGUCCGCUGUGAAAGUCGGGGGCUCAACCCUCGGAUGCCGGUGGAUACUGUCGAGCUUGAGUACGGAAGAGGCGAGUGGAAUUCCUGGUGUAGCGGUGAAAUGCGCAGAUAUCAGGAGGAACACCAAUUGCGAAGGCAGCUCGCUGGGACGUUACUGACGCUGAGACGCGAAAGCGUGGGGAGCAAACAGG
rnacentral:rRNA from 1 species